AAUAUCUUUCAAUAUUCUAGACCAAAGUGUCAUGUUGCUCUCAGGUGAUAAACACAAUGCAGUUUGCUUUCCAGAGUCCCCUUGACUAUGUUAAUGGGGACAUGUACACAAGACUCCAUUCAUUCUGGACAGCUUUUCUGAUCCUUGAGUGAUUGGUUCAACCUGAACCUUAGGAUUCUGUUGGUCCUUACUACCUAUCUGUACUAUCUACACAUACAAACUUAGCUUUCUGAAGAAAUCGAGGACAAUGAGCAUGAAAUCUCAAGUCUCCUCACUGAGAAUCUCGACCUCUGCCUCAGGACCACCUGUAUAUUGAGGGAGCUCUCUCUGUCUUCUCACCAAAGAGGAUUGGAGUAAGAGACUACUCUAGGGUCCUGAAUAAGCAAGGUGCCAUGGUGAACUGCCUAUGGAGACUACCACAUAGCAAGACUAAGGAGACCUCUGGGAGCCAAGGACCCUAGUUUUACAAAACAAAAACAAAAACAAAAACAAACAAACAAACAACAACAACAAAAAACCCAACUGAAUUUUGCCAACAAGUAUUUGGUGAUGUAAUAGGAUAUAGAACUGCUACAGUUUGAAUAUUUGUCCUGUUCAAAACUAAAGCAGAGAUUAAUUGUCACUGUAACAGCAUUAAAAAGUGGGACUUCAGGAGGUGAAUAGGAUAAGUUGAGGUCACAGGAUUGGUCCCCAUGAUUGUGUUAGUGGCUAUAUAAGAAGAGGAAAGGAUCCCUAGCAUGCCAUGUGAUGUUUUUUGCCAUGCUGUGAUACAACGUUCAUCAGAUGUCUGUGCAAAGGUCUUGGAUAUCCCAGCCACCAGAACUGUGAGCUAAAUAAUCUAUAUCUGUAUUAAAUUACUCAGUCUGUGAUAUUAAGUUAUUAGCAACAGAAAACAUACUAAGGACCUCAGAUGAAUUCAUAGUCCCAGCUGAAAUUUUAAUUGUAGCCUGUGGAACCCUAAGCAGAUGACUUAGCUAAGCCAUGUCCAGAUUUCCUGAUGCAUAAAAUAUAAAAUAAUAAAUAAAUUUGUGUUAUUUUA